GACGAACGCUGGCGGCGUGCUUAACACAUGCAAGUCGAACGGAAAGGCCCUGCUUUUGUGGUGUGCUCGAGUGGCGAACGGGUGAGUAACACGUGAGUAACCUGCCCUUGACUUUGGGAUAACUUCAGGAAACUUGGGCUAAUACCGGAUAUGAGCUCCUGCUGCAUGGUGGGGGUUGGAAAGUUUCGGCGGUUGGGGGUGGAGUCGCGGCUUAUCAGCUUGUUGGUGGGGUAGUGGCUUACCAAGGCGUUGACGGGUAGCCGGCCUGAGAGGGUGACCGGCGACAUUGGGCCUGAGAUACGGCGCAGACGCCUACGGGAGGCAGCAGUGGGGAAUAGUGGACAAUGGGCGGAAGCCUGAGGGAGGAACGCCGGGUGCGGGAUGACGGCCUUCGGGCUGUAAACCGCUUUCGCCUGUGACGAAGCGUGAGUGACGGUAAUGGGUAAAGAAGCACCGGCUAACUACGUG
rnacentral:rRNA from 1 species